UCCAAUUAGUCUGAUUUCUUGGGUGUGUGU
rnacentral:piRNA from 1 species